rfam:Tupaia belangeri cont1.071598, whole genome shotgun sequence.
CUGUGUGAGCCGAGCAUGGCCCGGCUGCGGCCCCUGCCAAGUAACAGAUUUGAACGCCGAGUUCGUCCAUCAGCGCCCAGGAAGCUGGAGCCCUGCAGAGUCCAGGGCCCUGGCCGGUGCCUGGCAAGCCUUUCCUAUGCCCACAGCCCAGAAUCGAGCCCGGGCCAAGGCCCCGGCGGGAG